CGAAAGUUAGCUCACGCUUAGAGCGAUCGACUGAUAAUCGAUGUGUUGCAGGUUCGAUUCCUGUACUUUCCACCA
rnacentral:tRNA from 19 species